ACGCGCGGAACCUUACCAGGUCUUGACAUCCCAUUGACCGCUAUGGAGACAUAGCUUUCCCUUCGGGGACAGUGGUGACAGGUGGUGCAUGGUUGUCGUCAGCUCGUGUCGUGAGAUGUUGGGUUAAGUCCCGCAACGAGCGCAACCCUUGAUCUUAGUUGCCAGCAGGUAAGGCUGGGCACUCUAAGGUGACUGCCGGUGACAAACCGGAGGAAGGUGGGGAUGACGUCAAAUCAUCAUGCCCCUUAUGACCUGGGCUACACACGUACUACAAUGGCCAGUACAACGGGAAGCGAAGCCGCGAGGUGGAGCGAAUCCUAAAAAGCUGGUCUCAGUUCGGAUUGCAGGCUGCAACUCGCCUGCAUGAAGUCGGAAUUGCUAGUAAUCGCGGAUCAGCAUGCCGCGGUGAAUACGUUCCCGGGUCUUGCACACACCGCCCGU
rnacentral:rRNA from 1 species